rnacentral:tRNA from 1 species
GCAAGCACACCACACAAGCACUAUUAUCACUUCUUCUUCUCCAUCUUCUCACUUUUUCGAGCCUCACUCGGGCCCUAUCACCAGAAACAACUCAUUUCCACCGACUGUCGCCGGUUACUAGACGUCGACUAGAAACAAAGAAAAAUGAGAGAAAUCCUUCACAUUCAAGGUGGACAAUGUGGUAACCAGAUCGGAUCCAAGUUCUGGGAGGUCGUUUGUGACGAGCAUGGCAUUGACCCUACGGGACGAUACACUGGAUCUUCUGAUCUGCAGUUAGAGCGCGUCAAUGUGUACUACAAUGAGGCCUCAUGCGGGCGAUUUGUACCUCGUGCUGUGCUUAUGGAUCUUGAACCUGGUACCAUGGACAGUGUGAGGACUGGUCCCUAUGGUCAAAUCUUCAGGCCUGAUAACUUUGUGUUUGGGCAGUCUGGUGCUGGAAAUAACUGGGCCAAGGGGCAUUACACUGAGGGAGCAGAGCUGAUUGAUGCAGUUUUGGAUGUUGUGCGGAAGGAGGCCGAGAACUGUGACUGUCUACAAGGUUUUCAAGUCUGCCACUCUCUGGGUGGUGGAACUGGUUCUGGAAUGGGAACUCUCUUGAUUUCUAAGAUCAGAGAGGAAUACCCUGACAGGAUGAUGCUCACUUUUUCCGUGUUCCCAUCACCCAAGGUUUCAGAUACUGUUGUCGAGCCAUACAAUGCCACCCUUUCUGUGCAUCAAUUAGUUGAGAAUGCUGAUGAAUGCAUGGUGCUGGACAACGAGGCCUUGUAUGAUAUCUGUUUCAGGACUCUCAAGUUAACUACUCCCAGCUUUGGAGAUCUGAACCAUCUGAUCUCUGCAACUAUGAGUGGGGUCACCUGCUGCCUUAGGUUUCCUGGUCAGCUUAACUCUGACCUCAGGAAACUUGCAGUGAAUCUCAUCCCCUUCCCCCGUCUACACUUCUUUAUGGUUGGAUUUGCUCCUCUGACAUCACGUGGUUCCCAGCAGUACCGAGCACUAACCGUCCCAGAACUUACACAGCAAAUGUGGGAUGCUAAGAACAUGAUGUGUGCAGCUGAUCCAAGGCACGGUAGGUACUUGACAGCCUCAGCUAUGUUCAGAGGCAAAAUGAGCACCAAGGAAGUUGAUGAACAAAUGAUAAAUGUACAAAACAAGAACUCUUCCUAUUUUGUUGAGUGGAUUCCUAACAAUGUGAAGUCAAGUGUGUGUGACAUUCCUCCAACUGGGUUAUUGAUGUCAUCAACAUUUAUGGGAAAUUCUACCUCUAUACAAGAAAUGUUCAGGCGUGUCUCCGAACAAUUCACUGUCAUGUUUAGGAGAAAGGCAUUCUUGCAUUGGUAUACAGGGGAAGGAAUGGAUGAAAUGGAGUUUACUGAGGCAGAAAGUAACAUGAAUGAUUUGGUAUCUGAAUAUCAACAAUAUCAAGAUGCUGUUGCAGAGAAUGAGGAGGAGGAGGGUGAGGAUGAGGAUGAAGAGGCUAUGUAGAGUUGAAGGUGGCAUUUUAAAUUUUAAUUGGUUUUGGUUUGGCAAAAAUGUUGUGUUCUUCUUUUUCUUCAUGUUUGUGGCUUGACAAUGGUGAAUAAGUCAUGUGUAUAGUUUCUGGACCUAGGCGGUGAAAAUGAGCUUUCCUUAUAAAUUUUCGUGAGAUUCAUGAUUAUUCAAAUGCAUGUUCUGUAUUUGUACUUACCUGUAAUAAUACUGAUAAUGAUGGCGCACAAACGAUGUAGCCGGGUCCAUAGCUCAGUGGUAGAGCAUUUGACUGCAGAUCAAGAGGUCACCGGUUCAAACCCGGUUGGGCCCUUUUUUUUUCUUUUUUUUGUUCAUCACAACCAAAACCAAACCAAUUAUCAGUCACAAAAUGUAAGCCAAACCAUAAAAGAAACUUUUUUUUUGUUUUGGAGAAAUUUCAAAUUCUGGCUUGAAUGGUUGACACAACACCAUUAUGCUUAGAUGACACUGAGUUUGUGCUUGAUAUAUAUAUAUAUAUAAUCAUUGUAAGAUCAAAACAAGUUUUCGACCUCUAGGAAGACUUCAUGGUGCGGGUCAUCAUGUUCAUGAAUUCAUCUAUGUCAAUCAAACCAUCUCCAUCACUAUCAACUCCUUUUAUCAUUUUUCUACAAGCAUCCAAACUAAACUUCUCUCCCAUCCUCUUCAAGACUUGCAUUAAUUCUUCUGCACUUAUUUUCCCAUUGCCAUCCAAAUCGAAAGCUUGAAACGCACUAUGAAUAUCACUGGCCUUCACCCCAUCUCCCUCGCUAUUCAUCAUCUUCAUGAACUCCUUGAAGUCUAUGAAACCAUCUCCAUCAGUAUCAGUAGCCUCAAAUGACUUGGCCAUUUCAUCUUCGUCCAUUCCCUUGCCCAAGCUCCUCAACGCUGACUUGUACUCUUGGCGUGAAAUCUUGCCAUCUUUGUUGGUGUCAAAUUUGGAAAACACCCAUUUCAUCUCUUCUUCAUUUGGUUGGAAAGAUUUUGGUGACACACUAACAUUAGAGAUUUGUUUUUCUCUGUAGAUGCUUGAGUGGACUGGUUUUACUGACGAGGC